rnacentral:lncRNA from 1 species
AGACAAACGCAAGAUUUUAUUUUUGUAGUUUGCUUAAUAUCACUAGACUACAGCGUGAUACCAUCGUUUGUGAGGUCUGUGUGGAUUUUGGUUUACCUUGAGAAGAUUUGGGCCCCCAAAUUUAGAAUUAAAGUAAAAUGUUUGGGAAAGGUAAAGGUUGUCUUGGCCAGAAUGAAAGCUAUUGCUGUGAAAAGAAUGAAUGCAACAGAUUUUUAUUUUACCGAUUUGAAAAUAGCGUGGGUCAAUAUGACCGCAUCAAAGCACUGAACUCCUCCCAGCGCUCGUGUAGCUUCGGUGGACUACUGGAUCACACCAGCGUAUUCUUUUAAGGUAAAUGUCAGAGUGAAACCCAUUUGAUCGAAAAAGAUACAAGCCUAAUCAUUUAAAUACAGAAGUUGUUUCCCAAAUCUGAAUACAUCAGGCAAGAGCCCCAGAAUAGCCAGAGAGCUAUCAGCACGGGACAGGCUGCUCUUCUGCUAGCGCAGGAGCUAUGACAGCAUGACAAGCUGAAGUUUUGCUGCAGUUUUAAUUGCGAUGCAGGCAUUUUUUUCCUAACACCCGACUCUGUGUAUUUACCUGCCGGUUUCGCAGAAUUCGCAAGCACUUGGCGCUUGAGAGCCCACCACCUCCAGCUAGGUCAACCCCCACCAUCGGACGCCAGAGAGCCGCCAAGAACCGGGCUUCUAGCAUAUUCCUGGCUGCGCAAACUGCUUUUUUAGGGGGCCCAGACGAAACGCCUCUUUCGGUUCCAGGGCAAGGGGGGGGGGGGCACCCCGGUCUCCUCAAGGGCAGCCUGCGGGGGAUCCGAGGAGAGGGGCGUGUGCGCCACGAACACGGGUGGGAGGCUGCCCCCUCGCAAUCCGCGGCCCCCAGCGCAGCACAUCCCCUGUGCCACCGCCCCCCGGGGCGGUGCGGGGGCCGCGGACAGGUGUGGGCCGGCAGGGGGGCGGGCGGCGGGGCGGGGGCGGCCGGGUUUGUGUGUAGGCAGCCGGGCGGCGCUGCCCCCCGUGCGGCGGCGGCUGCGGCGGCGGCGGCGGCGGGAGCCGCGGCCCCGCGAUAAAAGGGAAGGGGCCGGGCGCUGCGCGCUGCGGCGGCACCACCGGCAGGGAGGGAGGGAACCGGGGAAGGAGCAGGAGGGCUGUGCCGAGAGGAGAGACGCCGCCCGGCUGGCUGUCCGUCCGUCCGUCCUCUCGGAGGAAUCCCGGGCGGCCCCCCCCUUUCUCCCUCCCGGCGGGAGGCGGCCGCGCAUCGAGGAGGAGCCGCCGCCGCCUCAUCCUGCGGCACCGGCCGGCGCUGCCAGGAGCCCGGCGAGCGCAGGUGGCAGUGUAGAAGCCAAGAACAAAAACUGGCAGAAAUUAUGUUCUGUAUACAAGAAAAUGAAGAGAGUGUACUCAUGACUAAGCACAGGAACCUGGAAAACCACAGGAUUCCUAGGAAGCCAUGGAGGAUGGAACAAACUCAGAGCUGGAGCCUGAAGAGUUCUUGGAACUUGUGUAUGGGAAGUUAUCCUG